rnacentral:rRNA from 1 species
GUCUCCACCCGAGACUCAGUGAAAUUGAACUCGCUGUGAAGAUGCAGUGUACCCGCGGCAAGACGGAAAGACCCCGUGAACCUUUACUAUAGCUUGACACUGAACAUUGAGCCUUGAUGUGUAGGAUAGGUGGGAGGCUUUGAAGUGUGGACGCCAGUCUGCAUGGAGCCGACCUUGAAAUACCACCCUUUAAUGUUUGAUGUUCUAACGUGGGCCCCUUACCGGGGUUGCGGACAGUGUCUGGUGGGUAGUUUGACUGGGGCGGUCUCCUCCUAAAGAGUAACGGAGGAGCACGAAGGUUGGCUAAUCCUGGUCGGACAUCAGGAGGUUAGUGCAAUGGCAUAAGCCAGCUUGACUGCGAGCGUGACGGCGCGAGCAGGUGCGAAAGCAGGUCAUAGUGAUCCGGUGGUUCUGAAUGGAAGGGCCAUCGCUCAACGGAUAAAAGGUACUCCGGGGAUAACAGGCUGAUACCGCCCAAGAGUUCAUAUCGACGGCGGUGUUUGGCAC